AUUGAACGCUGGCGGCAGGCCUAACACAUGCAAGUCGAACGAGUGGCGGACGGGUGAGUAAUGUCUGGGAAACUGCCUGAUGGAGGGGGAUAACUACUGGAAACGGUAGCUAAUACCGCAUACCAUCAGAUGUGCCCAGAUGGGAUUAGCUUGUUGGUGGGGUAACGGCUCACCAAGGCGACGAUCCCUAGCUGGUCUGAGAGGAUGACAGUCCACAGUGGAACUGAGGAACGGUCCAGACUCAAGCGCGAGGCACGAGUGGGGAAGAGUGCACAAAGGGCGAGAGCCUGAGGUAGCCAUGCCGCGUGUAUGAAGAAGGCCUUCGGAUUGUGAAGUACUUUCAGCGGGGAGGCGGUACCCGCAGAAGAAGAACCGGCUAACUCCGUGCCAGCAGCCGCGGUAAUUC
rnacentral:rRNA from 1 species